UGGGGAAUAUUGCACAAUGGGCGGAAGCCUGAUGCAGCGACGCCGCGUGGGGGAUGAAGGCCUUCGGGUUGUAAACUCCUUUCGACAGGGACGAAGCUUUUGUGACGGUACCUGUAUAAGAAGCACCGGCUAACUACGUGCCAGCAGCCGCGGUAAUACGUAGGGUGCGAGCGUUGUCCUGAAUUACUGGGCGUAAAGAGCUCGUAGGUGGUUUGUCGCGUCGUCUGUGAAAUUCCGGGGCUUAACUCCGGGCGUGCAGGCGAUACGGGCUGACUUGAGUGCUGUAGGGGAGACUGGAAUUCCUGGUGUAGCGGUGAAAUGCGCAGAUAUCAGGAGGAACACCGAUGGAGAAGGCAGGUCUCUGGGCAGUAACUGACGCUGAGGAGCGAAAGCAUGGGUAGCGAACAGG
rnacentral:rRNA from 1 species